AAAUGUUUCUGUUUCCUGCUUGGUUUGUACCUUAGAAUUAUCAGGCACAUCAAGAUUGGUCUCUCUGGAGGACUUUCUGGGGGUAUCGGGGAAGUUUAUUGUGAGCUCCCACACCUUAAUUGAAUGGGUUGGAGCCUGGAUUCUUUAACAAAGGCUUCUUUUCUCCAAAAAUAUGAAUUAGUGACUGAAGUUAAUGAGAUGUCAGCAAAGAGCUGGUUCACUGCUUCAUUAUCCCAGUUUAAUGCAGGUGUCACUCCGCUGGUUUCAAGAGUUAUACUGGUUAAAAUUGGGGUAAUAGUUGUGAAUCAGCCCCAGCGCGAGUCUAAAGAUCACUUCCUUUCUCAGUGGCUCAAAUUUUCACUCUUGGGUUUUUUUUAAUGUUAUUUCACUGGUUCUUCAUUCACCAUAGAGUCUUCCAGCCUAGACAAGACCUGAAUUACAAAUGUUCAAGCUGGUUCAGAUGCAGGGAUUCUAGUUCAAUCCUACUAGUUUUUACCAUUGUGAUCAAAUCUGCAGCCACUUCAUGCACAGCACGCCCAACAAAUUCAGCAGGAAGCAAAGAAGUUCUGUGAUGGUGAGAGAGAUGGACUUGUCAAAUAGCUCCUCUGGGGUGUGUCCUCUCUCCAAGCAGGUGGUUGACCACAUGUUCUGCUCCGGCCUCCCAAAGCAUCCUCUCAUUGUGAUGCAUAUGUAGAUGCUCCAGGGAUGCAAGGCGUCUGAAAUCUCUGUUCAUGGGCUCCCAGAUCCUACCCUUUACCAUGCUUCUUACACUGCUAAUGGGGCCUUCUGCACUUGCAGAAAGAUGCAGCUCCUGCCCCAUUAGAAUUAUUAUUAAUAGUGCACAGAGCUUUACAGACAGCCCUACCCCAAGGUGCUUAUCAUCUAACUACCAUGGAAAUCAUCCCUAGAUACUACAAUUUAUCUGGACCACUGCCUCCUCCCCCUCACUCCCUGGUGUUCUACAUCUCAGCAGUAUUUAUCUUGGCAUCAAUUCACUUAGUCCAGCCUCUAGUAUUUAAGUGCAAACCCUGCAUUCCUACCAGCAACAGGCUAACCUUGUUUUCAGAAACUUGCAAGGUGCUUAUUGAGCUUUGACUUGCAUGGACUAACCAGAUGACCGUCCCUGGCCUUCAGACCCCGCUGAGGGGGGGAGAACGAGGUAGGCGGGAGGAAAGAGGCUCUCAUGCUUCAUUUCCCCUGAUUAAGUUACUUGCCAGUUUCCAGCUCCAUCCAGAUCUGUCGUUUGUCCUUGACCGUUUGAGGAGAGAUGCAAUUUACCAUAGCCCUGGGAGUUCAUGCUCAUAUUUCUUGACAACCAAGACGCCUGAUGGAGCUGCCCUCUGUGUAAACCAGGUAGUCACUCCCACAAAUACGCUGACUACUUUGUCGAUAGAGGGAAUGUUCAAAUACUUCCGGAAGCGCUUUGCCAGCCAUCUGACGGAACGCAGUCGCCGAAGAGCAAGGCUGGUAUCUAAAGAUGGAAGGUGUAACAUAGAGUUUGGGAACGUGGAAGAACAGUCACGGUUUGUCUUCUUGAUUGAUAUAUGGACCACCAUCCUGGACCUAAGAUGGAGAUACAAGAUGACCAUCUUCAUCUCAGCAUUCUUAGGCAGUUGGUUCCUAUUUGGUCUCCUUUGGUACGUUGUGGCAUAUAUACAUAAAGAUCUUCCUGAAUUCAGUCCUUCGAUAAACCAUACCCCAUGUGUGGAGAACAUAAACGGCUUGACCUCUGCUUUCCUGUUCUCCCUGGAAACCCAGGUUACCAUUGGCUAUGGCUUCCGGUGUGUCACAGAGCAGUGUGCCACUGCCAUUUUUCUGCUGAUCUUCCAGUCUAUUCUUGGGGUCAUCAUCAACUCUUUCAUGUGCGGUGCUAUCUUGGCCAAGAUUUCGAGGUCCAAGAAACGGGCCAAGACCAUCACCUUCAGCAAGAAUGCUGUCAUUAGCAAACGAGGCGGCAAGCUGUGCCUCCUUAUCCGGGUGGCCAACCUUAGGAAGAGUCUACUGAUUGGGAGCCACAUCUAUGGGAAGCUUCUGAAGACGACCAUCACUCCAGAAGGGGAGACUAUCAUCUUGGACCAGGUCAACAUAGAAUUUGUGGUGGAUGCUGGCAAUGAGAACCUCUUCUUCAUCUCCCCCUUAACUAUUUACCACGUCAUUGAUAGGACAAGCCCGUUCUUCCGCAUGUCAGUGGAAACCAUCCUCCAGCAGGAUUUUGAGCUAGUGGUAUUUUUAGAUGGCACAGUGGAAGCCACUAGUGCUACCUGUCAGGUCAGGACAUCCUAUAUCCCAGAGGAGGUACUCUGGGGCUACCGCUUUGCUCCCAUCGUGUCCAAGACCAAGGAAGGGAAGUAUAGAGUAGACUUCCACAACUUCAGCAAGACUGUGGAAGUAGAGACUCCUCACUGUGCCUUUUGCCUCUACAAUGAGAAGGAUGCUAAAGCCAAGGCAAAGAGAGGUUACGACAACCCUGGCUUCAUCCUAUCAGAAGUCAAUGAAACCAGCGACACAAAAAUGUAGCUCUGUAUGCUCAUGGGACUGGGGCAUUUUUUGUCGUAACACAAACUCAAUACGGAGAUGCCCAAUAACCUAGUAGCGCAGAAGAAAAAUGAAUAGGGCUGUUUUGACAUGAAAAUAGCUCCUGAUUUCUCAAAAGAAUUAAAUCAAAUCAGAAUACCACACCAGUGAUCUCUGGGAGGCUAUUUAACUGCACUAUAUAUAUAUAUUUUCAUAGAAUGUAUAUUUUUUUAUACCUAUGGGAUGUUCAUUUAAGUUGCUAAAUUGGAAUGUCCGACUCACUCAAUGAAGUUCCCAGAUGCAUUUGAGCCAUAAGCAAGUCUGACAACAUGCCUUAAAAGAAGAGACAUAGGGAGGGCUCCAGAUAUGCUGAAGAGGAGCGGUUCUUGGAUGAAAUGUGAAAAGAAGAGAUAACAGGUACUCAUAUGACACCCACCACCCUGUAUUUGAGUACUUCACAACCUUCAGCCUCUCCACAUCUCUGGGAGACUGGAUGACUCGUAGACUAUUUCAAGAUGGCCGUACUAACACUUCCUGUAAGGAGGCUCAUGAGAAUCCAUUUUCGCAUGAGCAUUCAACACCUUCUCCCUCUGCGAACAGAACACGUGCUUGUGCAAAUGUAACCCACAUUAAUGCCAAGGUGGGUCUUUGUCCCCCUCUUGUGGCUGGGCCAUGUAAAGAGGUUUACGAGAUUGCAACAGCCUCGAUGCUAAUCAACCUUGUCUGUUAGCUCAAGCAAGAGAUGCUCAUGAUCUUGCUCCUAUUACCAGAGGUCUGUAGAUGACUUGAUUAGGGAGUCAUUGUGUAAACAUAGCAAGCCUGCAAAUGGUGUCCACAGAAGCUAGCUAAGAGCUUAAGCAAUUUAGGACUUCUACUCUGUGGCGUAGUAUUAAAGUUCCUGGGUUCAAAUCUGGUUAGCUGCUUUGAGGGAGAAGGGUAGAAUGCUUGUGGUGAGCAACUUCAUGCAGUGUCCAAUACCGAAGAAGUGACUUAAUUGUUUGUAUUCAAACAAAGACUAUUUGGCCCUAUCCACCCAGUUUUACUCUUGCAUAGUUCUCCACACCAGCUGCCAUGACCAGCACAGAGGGCAGUGGUGGGAUUUUCAAAAACACUCCAUAUUGGCUCAGCUCUGCUCCCAAUGAAGUCAAUGGAAGAUUGGUCCAACUCAGCUCUGACUAAAGUCAAUGGGUGUUUUACUGCAGAUGCUAACGGAAACAGAAUGAGGCUCCUGCUGAAUGCUUUUUAGAAAUUCCAUCAUGUGUUUAUUAGGAAUGAAUCUCCCCCCUUUUCCUGGGGCCCCACUGCUGUAAUCUCUCUACUUCCCUUCAUUGUCCCUUGGAUUUUGGUGUUGGCUCAUGGCUGACUUUACACCCUAACAAAGAAAGCUACAAAGAAGCUGUGCAGAACACUGAGAGGGCGUCAUUUAGUUGGGAAACCCAACCCGUUGGGAAACCCAAGCAAGACGUAUCACUGCUUGAAGCCUGAUAGGACUUGAUUCUCUUAUUUACGGUGCUUUGAUAGUGGUGUACCUCUGUCGACUUUGUUGGAGAUGCUCCCAAUUUAUAUUGGUGUCAGGGAGGUUAGAAUCCAGCCCGUAGACCCUUCACCACAGUGGCAGAAGCAGCUCCGUUGACUAGCUGUUUCAGAAUCCUUUACACUGCCUGCUGUGGGAUGUCAAAGGAGAUACCAAAGCAGCUGGCACUAAGGAUUUUGGACACUGCACAUGACAAAGCUGAUACAGGGACAUCUCUUUUAAAUGGGGGGAGGGGCGUCAAUAAGCAGCCAAAAGAAAGGGGUUUUGGAUAAGCCUUGUUGGUGGAUGAACAGAGUUGACCGAGUAUUAUAAGUGUUUGAGCCCUCUUAACUUGUGCCUAAGACUGUCCUUGCUUGAAACAUUACAAUACCAGGUUGGGAAAUGAAGUUUAUGGGAUACAGCCGAGCACACACUGGACACAUUUACCUGGUUGGGGCCGUUGCUGUUCUGUAUUCUUAUUCACAGUUUGAGUCCCUGCAACCGGGGGACCUGUAAUAACAGGAAAAGUGAGAUCUUAGAUGUACUGCAAGCAGAGGAGAGGGAACAAAUAGGGAACAAGAUGGAUACAGUGUAUACAUGAACAUGACCAAGCCAGUGGAGAUCGGCAGGAAACAGUUUUGUGGUCAUAUGGGAAUUGUUGAAUUUUCAUACAUAUCUAUUACCCUGAUGAACAGGGAUGAAAAGUCAAAAUCACAAUUUUCAUCAAUGGAAACAUUUUAAAUAAUUUUGAAUCAGGUCCAACUAAAUGCUUCAUUUUGAUCAUUUUGACCUUUUGAGAUUCUUUUUUACUCUCAGUUAACCUAAAUUUUGAAACCAACGGUUGCUUCAAAUUGAAAAAUGGAAUUUUUUGUUUCGAAAAGGGCAAAAUGGGAUGUCAACGAUUUCUCAACUUUUUUCUGGAAUUUUUUUUGAAACGGGAAAUUCGCCAAAUGAGCCUUUCCCAUGAACAAUUUUGGUUUUGGAAAAUCAACAUUUUCUGAAGAAAAAAAAAAGUUUGGUCAAAUAAUUCCCGACCAGCACUACAAAUCAGUUCAACCUUAGCCCUAGCAUCUGCUCCACACAUUCAGAUCCUCACUGAUAACAGAGAUAAUGCUAUAAAACAAAGGAUGGUCUUCCCAUUCUGAGUGAGCAUUUUCCAUAAAGCUCCUAAACAGAAAGUACUGAUUUAGGGCCAAAUUCUGCCAGCCUUACCCCAGCUGAGUAAUAUCUUGCUCAGGGACAACUUGUGGCCCCAGGACAUGUGACACCAGUGAAAGAAGAGCAGAAUAUGCCCCAGUGACAAACAGUUAUACUAGCUAAGAUAAAAAUCGCAUGGGCUAGCAAUCCACCUCCUUCAGGGCAUAAACUUACCAUUUGGGGGCAGCAGGAAAUCCGGCCCCACCCUGUAGUAUUGCAAAAUGAUAUGAAUUAUGAAAAUAAUUAACAACUAGAAUAAUGUGCAUGUCUAUAGGAUCAUCCAUAUGAUGACUUCAAUGUGCUUUACAAAUAUUAAGGGCCAGUAUUUGCUACUCUUUCUCAUGGUGAGUGGCACCUUUCUUCUUUGAGCAGUAGUAAGGUAUUGGAGUACGGCGUUAUUCAUCAUGAUUAAUUGUAUCAGAAUCUGGCCCAACGUAAGGAUGGCUCCAAUGAAUUAAGUCUCACAAGAGACUGGAAGUUAAUAGGGCCUGGAUCCUUACUCAUUCUGAUGCCUGUACAACAAGCAAACCAAACCUUGCCCAACUCAUGACCAUGUUUCGAUCCUCUGCAUCAGAAUUUGCCACCCCAACAUGGCUACUUACUUUUGGUGAGGCUGGAGUUCAUGUUAUUGCCCCAUCCGGCUCUCCUGACCGCAUCAUAGGAAGGAUCUAAUGACAAAUGAAGGAGGAGUUGAGUUCAGACUGCGCCAGGAAGGCUAGACAAGUGGCUAGUUGUGAUUAUUGCUUAGGAAAUUUCACACACGCUUUAGUUACUUUGUUUCCAUGCCCUGGCCUACAUAUGUGUUUCAGCCACCUGUUAUGUAUUGUCCAUUAUAGUGCAAGGGCCUUGGGGCAGGGCCUGUCAUUUUUGAUCUGUCUGUACAGUGCCUGGCACAAUGGGACUCUGACCUCUCUGACCUGUAGGCACUGCCACAAUAUGAAUGUUAAAUAAUAAGACAUGGCAUGGGACAGGUGGAGCUUCGAAAGACAUUGUGCAAGGGGUGGCUGGCAGAGGGUGGGAGCAGGGGUGAGGCCUGGGCCUCCAUCUCCUCCCUGCACAGGUGGUGGUAGUAUGGACCGGGCCUGUGCUUGACUCCUGCGGGGGGCACAAGUUGGCAAUGGAGGGCAGAGAGGAAAACAAAAGCGCUUAGUGCCCUCCACCCCGUUUUGUACACCCGUGCUAGUGUCAGGCACCAUCUGGUCCCAUGGGAAUAGAUGGGGUGGACUGAGGCUAAAUGUAAACUGAACCCAACAAAAUUUGAAUUUCUGUCUAGUCAGAAUCUGCCUCUCAGCUGCCCCCAAUACUCCCAAAUAUCUGUGCCUUCUUUCCACUCCAGAGCCCUUGCUCAUCCUCCUGGCCCAUCGCGAGGCUGCAAUCAGGUGUGCCUUGCACAGCCGCCUGCUCUUCUGCCUCGCUGCUUCUUCUGUCUGCCCUGUGAUUGUGUGGUAUGGCUCUAGGGUGACCAGAUAGCAAGCGUGAAAAAUCAGGACUGAGGGUGGGGGGUAAUUGGCACCUAUAUAAGAAAAAGCCCCAAAUAUUGGGACUGUCCCUAUGAAAUUGGGACAUCUGGUUACCGUACAUGGAUCCCAAGGAGCCUGCCUUAAGAACUGGUAAAUAUCCAGGAAACAGAGGAACUGUUCAUGGUUUAGGAGAGGUUGGACGGAAAGGAAAGUUCACAAUGGAGAUCAUGAAAAACAUCCUGAUGGGGAGCUGUACUGGGCUCCUAAGGGGAAGGGUGGAAGCCCAUGCACUUUAACAGCUGACCUGGGUAAAGCCCUGGAAAAUCUAGGUUUCUGCAGGGAGAGGUACAAGAUGACUUGGUAGAGUAGCUGCCAUUAAAAAGUCAACAUUUCCCAGCACUUAUUAUUGCACGGAGUAUCUGAGAUGCCACAGUUAUUUCCUCACACUUAGAAGAAAGAACCUUGCUAACACUGAAUGGUGACCACAGCAAGUUUUUUCUGUCUCUGACCACUGUGGAUCAUGGGCAGCCUUGAGUUAUGGGUCCAGAUCCACAGUAGGUGUCAAUCAGCGAAGCUCCAUGCCGAUUGACAUCAAGUGAGGAUCUGGCCCAUGACUGAUUUGGAAGCUGCAGGAAACCUUCCAAGGACAUUGAAGGGGCCCUGGAAGGGUGCGGCAAAGCACUGUGUUAGAGAAAGGGGGAAAAACAAUGGGCUCUGAUUUCACAACAAGCAACACUGGUGGGUGAGGAUUGGCUUGGGGCAAAGAUGUGUCAUCGGAAUCCUGCAUUUGAAAUCCCUAGGUUUUUUUAUUGUUAUUGCUGAACAGUUCACAAUCCACGUUUUCCCCAGCCCAUCUUCUCACUCUUGUCCUGGAGUGGCUGGACAGAAAAACCACUCAAGGACCAGACUUAGAGGUAGUGAAGGGACGAGCCAUUAGGUUAUUCAACAUGAAUCAAGCCAGGGCUUUAAACCAAAAAGGAUUCCAAAGUCUCCUUGUGGACAACAAAGAAACCAUAAAAACCACGCUAACCCGCAACAUUAAAAAUAACCAUCAUCCUCAUCAGAAAGCACUUCAACAGAUGAACUGCUGCCCCCCAACUCCUUCCGCAACCCCUCGAGUGAAUAAGAGCCAGGAAGUGGCGCUGCUCAUGCCCUUGUCCAUUCUCAUCGUUUGGGGCUGGAGAAGAGCAAGGAGACCGGAGCGAAUCUCCUUGUGGAAAAAUCCACGUGCACUCGCCCAGUCCAUCUGGCUCUGCAAAAGCCUCUUCAGUUUUUUAAAUUAGUUAUUGGCAUGAAAAGAAAAACAGAAAGAGGGAGUGUGGAGGAGAGCAGAGGGAAGAGAGAGAAAAGGGGGAAAAGGAGCUCAUUUAAUUUGUCCGUUUUUAUUUUUAUUUUACUGUUGUUUGUAAUAGAAACCACAAUCCCUGCUGCAAAUAGGUCAGACUUAAAAACAACCCACUGUGCAUUAAGAAUCCGACAAGACAUCUCUCAAGGACAGAGCCCAGUCUGGGUUUCUUGUUCUUCCAGCGGCAGUGCUGGGGACUGGUUCCCAGCUGCAUUUGGCCAAGUGAACCUUUCUACCCGGCUAAGAGCCAUUGGGGUAAACAAGCAAAGCUGCUAUAUAUGUACCAGUGGAGUUUUCCCCUGCUUGAAACCAUUGGUGGAAAUUGCACCUUGUGCUGUCUACACUAGGGGCUUGCACCAGUGUCAGUAUGGUAGUGGUUGAAAUCAGAGCACAAUAGAUAAGGCUUAAAUUGUAGCCCAUUCCCCUUGUAACCAAAUGGCUUCUUCUUCCCCAUCCUUGGUAGCCAGCCAGUGACUUUCAUUCCUCCCCUUUGAUAAUCCUUGGCAGGUACAUAAAACUGCAUAUUAACUCUAGGCUUUUGGCAUCAUUUGCCAACAAGCUAAGGCCCGGGAGUUCCACUAAAACUGCGACAGGAAGACGGCAGAGUGGCACUGCAGUGGGUGGGCCCAGCUCCAGUUAAAGAAGGAAGGGAGGUGUUUCUGAGAUGCGUCCAGAGAAGUUUUAAGUUUCUUUCAACUUUUCUGGUUCAGCUCGCAACUUGCCACCUUCAGAUCCCAUGAGCUACAGCAUCAUUUCUAGAUUGGGUUAGGGGCCGAAAGCAGAACCUUGCCAAUGCACACGACAUGACUGGCUGAUCCACCGUGAAUCAACACAACAAAAAAGAAAAGAUAACAGUAGAACAUUUUGCGUCUAAAGAUCCCAGGCACUCCAUAGCGGUGGCCUGGAUGAUUAGCCACAUUCUACAGAUGGGGAAACUGAGGUAUGGAGCAGCAAUGGAUGAUUUAGUUGGGAAUUGGUCCUGCUUUGAGCAGGGGGUUGGACUAGAUGACCUCCUGAGGUCUCUUCCAACCCUAAUAUUCCAUGAUUCUAUGAAUGUGACCUGCCCAUGGUCACGUAGAUCCAGAGUGUAGCCCACAUCUCCUGCUUGCCAUUCCAACGCUUUAACUGCAAAUCCGUGCUCACUCUUGCGAUCAAAAAUACUGGAUCAAGACACAGAGGGCCAGAUUCUCAGCAGGUGUAAAUUGGCAUAGCUGCAUUGACUUCUACCGAAUGAGGUUGAUUUACACCUGCUCAGGAUCUGCUCUUGGGCGGAGAGUGCCCAGAAUGACGUUAAAGUCAUUAAUCAUUUUAAAGGUCCCUGUGCUGGUUUCUUUGCACCCUUUUUUCAAGGCAGCUGAUUUGGGAGUGCAAGGGUGGUGUUAUGAUUACAGUAGUGGUCAGAAAACCCAGUUCAAUUCCCCCCUCUCUCCUCCUGUGUGACCUUGGGCAAAUUACUUAGUCUCCCUUUGUCUCGGUUCCCCAUCUACAAAAUGGGGAUAAGAUACUUCUCUGCCUCUCGGGGUGGGUUGUGAGAAUUAAUACCCCAUAAGCCCCUUCAAUGCUAUUGGGAAGGGGGUUGAAUAAGGUUAAUAAAUAGUUCCUCCAUUGUGUGGCACAAGGGGUGAGAGAGUUUCAGCACGACAGCCAGUCAUGCAGGUUUUGCUGUGGAAAACAGCUCACUUGUGCUCUCUCUUAAGCAGUGCAAGUUUCCACCUCUCUCAAAAAACAAAACAAUCAAAUCUGCCAACGUUUUUUUUUUCCUUCUCAAAAAGUUGUGCAAUGUGAACGAACCACAGCAGCCCGGCCAGCUUCUAGUCCCAGACUCUAAAGCUGAACGUGUUUAAAACAAAAUGGAAAAGGCAGAGCCAGGGAACCCAUCCAGAGACUCGGGUUUCUGCAAAAACAAUAUUGUUCCCAGGAUCUGACGCCCAGUGGCUCGAAGAGAUUCUACAGAACUCUGGCCAGACGGUUAGUUAUGCAAAGAGUCGUUAUCUGUCGUAAAGUGGCUCAAUUUUCACACUCAAAUGCUCCAAGCUACAGAGUUUCAAUUUAAAAAUACGAGGCCAGGUCCUCUUCUGGUGUAAAUCAGCAAUUGACUUCAGCUAAGCUAGGCCAGUUUACGCCUGCUGAAGUAAAUUACGCCUGCCCUAGGUCUGGUUUAGACUUAAAAGGCCCAUUUGAACAGCAGCCCUGUGACAAACGUGUAUUCAAUACAAAAUGGAAUUAAAGAGCACAAAAUAAAUCAUAGAUGUUUUCAAGAAA